CCUAAAUACCAUCCAUUUAAAUAAAAAAAACCUGCAACUCAUUUAAAAUCAAACCACAUUUGAUUGAUUUUAGACUCAUACAAAAUAGUUUCUCAAAAACCAUCACAACAUAUUAAUUAUAUCCAUUAACAUUACAAAACCACAUCAUAAUAAAUAUAAUAAUUUGUGAUUUUACUCAUGAUCCAGAUGGUUUUACUCACAAUCCAUAUGGUAUUACUCACAUAAGCCGCGUCUUCAACAACUCAACGAAUCCUCAAUGACAACUCAAGCUCCAACAAUACCUAAGCAAAUUACGUAACUCAACUUAACACAAAACUCCAAAAUCCAAUAAUAAUUGAGCUCCUCACUCAUCUCAACUAAUCGUGCACUUGCAUGCAAAUCGAGGCACACAUCACUUGAGACUCACCUCUCUUGCAACUUGCGAAAGUCACCAACAACUCCAAAAAUGUCAUGGCCAACCACGUCGUCAACCUUAUCUUCAAUCUUGAGCAAAUCCAAGAUUCCAUGCCCAAAUAACGAAAAUGCCCUUCGGACCAACCGGGGAUCCAAAGCGAUCAAUUAUCGUCCAGAACACUCCAAAACUAUGACGUACACACUGUUGAUGGAAAAACAAGACCAAUGACACCCAUUGUCUCCCACCUCGGGCAUACGACCUCAAAUUUCACAUAUGAUCAUACCAAUGGACUCUGAAUAGUUCCGACAUCACCCUGCAUCAAUUUGGGCCCGAUCCAAUUGUCGAAUCAUUCUUGAUUGCAUGAUUACGCAUAAUUGAACAGCGAUCGCUCGCCUUAACCUCAAAACACACUAACUUAAGAUCGGGAUGUCCAAUUGCCAAUCCGUCUGUACCUAAAGACUCCUCACAACACCAACUACAACAUAUAUAAAAUCGGACACGAUUUGACGGUCGAAUCAUCUUCGAUCUAACGUUCCAGAUUUGCCUAUUUGUUCUCCUUAUGCCAAGGGUGAUUCUCCAGACACCCAAUCAUUAUGCAAAGACUUUUAUGCAACUGGGCUACAAUGGAAAGAAAUAUGGCAGCAGAUGGCUUACCUUGGUCUGGGUUUGCACCUAGGCCUGCAUGUGCUGGCCACCCCCAGCCGUUUCUAGUUGAUGCGCUAGCCUGGCGUUAAGAAAAGAGUCGUUCUCUAGCAAGUAUCUCUACGUGAGGACCUAUAUGUAAGAACACCGUUGGAUCUAAUCUAACUGCUACGCAAUAACCAAUUGUAAGUGAAUUGUGUGAAACUGUUGCACUGGGACGAGGCCUCCUCCCUCCAAAACGGCUGUAUUGUGUUCUUGAAGAACACGAUAUCUCCCUCCAACAAAGUUGUUCUCUUUCUUCAAUAACAUAAAAUUUUCUUUUGAUCAGAGACCGAUUCUUCUCAUCCGAGACUUCCUCUUCUCAAAGCAUCCACCGAAAAAAAGCAUCCACUAGGCAUCAGUUGUUUGUCCCCAAAAUCUUACAACCCAGCUACCACCCAAAAUAUCUCAACCGCAUUUGCUCACGUUCUCCGGAACGAACCAUCAUCAGAGUGAGAGAAGUGACCCUGCAAGUGUUGUUGUCGAUGUGAGAGCAGCGAAGCCAUGUCAACCUGAAGGAGAUUCUUACCCGAAGACCCGUGCUGGCGAAUAUCCGGGUCACACUCCCGGCGGGCGUGGCCACACCCAAACCGUUGAGCAAGGAUUUGGGUCAAUACAGGGCAGUGAACAUGAUGGCCUUUUGCAAGGACUUCAACGCCCAGACCCAAAUGUUUAAACUUAGACGUACCCGUGGUGGUGACCCUGAACAACACCUACGAGUUCAUGGUAAAGUCACCGUCUGUCAACUGGUACCUGAGGAAGGCCACCAGCCUCGACUCAGGCAGCAGCCGACUCAAACACGUGGUCGCUUCUGAACUGUCUUUGAGGCACGUGUAUGAGAUCGCCAAGGUGAACCAAUCUGACCCGUAUUUCCAGUACAUGCCCGCCUUGGAGUCCAUUUGUAAGCCAUUAUUGAGUAGGAUUAUUGAGUAGGUUUUGUCAUUUACGAAUUUAGCAGUAGCUUUUCCAAUUGAAUGAGAAAAGAUGAUGGCUUGCACUUCAUCAAACUACCCUUGUUCUGUUUAUGACUUCUCUUACUAUUUGGUAUUUUCCUUGCAUGACACAGCUGAAGUUGUUGGUUGAGAAGUUGCAUAUAAAAUUUACCUUGCAAAUGUAAAUGCGGUUUGAUAUUAUGCAGAAUUGAGUUUUUUCUCUCUAUUUUUUUUUUUUAAUGCCAUUCUGAAUAUAGUUGUGUUAGAUUGAAUACGUUUAUUAAUUCACCAAGUUGGAAAAGUAGUUUCCCAGAAUGAGUUCAGGAGCAGCUCUCCGACUGAUACUUUGAGUUGGUGAUGUGGGAUUAAGCUUUUGAGCUCUUUACUCUCCAUAUGCUGGUUUUUGAGUUCAUAAACUUCACAGCCUGGUUUUAGGUUUAAUAUUAGAAUUUAAGCAGUCUGGUUUUAUUUUUAUUGUCUUCAUUUAAUUUGUGCACCCAGAUUCCAAAACAUAUACUUAAGCACAUGGACAUUAAGUGCACCCAGAUUCCAUUCGCAAUAAACCUCCCAAG
rnacentral:lncRNA from 1 species